UCGGUAAAAGAUGGGCCCGCAUCUGAUUAGCUAGUUGGUGAGAUAAUAGCCCACCAAGGCAACGAUCAGUAGCCGACCUGAGAGGGUGACCGGCCACAUUGGGACUGAGACACGGCCCAAACUCCUACGGGAGGCAGCAGUGGGGAAUAUUGCACAAUGGGCGAAAGCCUGAUGCAGCAACGCCGCGUGAAGGAAGACGGUUUUCGGAUUGUAAACUUCUAUCAAUAGGGAAGAAAGAAAUGACGGUACCUAAAUAAGAAGCCCCGGCUAACUACGUGCCAGCAGCCGCGGUAAUACGUAGGGGGCAAGCGUUAUCCGGAAUUACUGGGUGUAAAGGGAGAGUAGGCGGCAAGGUAAGCGAUAUGUGAAAGCCUUAAGCUUAACCUAAGGAUUGCAUAACGAACUAUCUAGCUAGAGUACAGGAGAGGAAAGCGGAAUUCCUAGUGUAGCGGUGAAAUGCGUAGAUAUUAGGAAGAACACCAGUGGCGAAGGCGGCUUUCUGGACUGAAACUGACGCUGAGGCUCGAAAGCGUGGGGAGCGAACAGGAUUAGAUACCCUGGUAGUCCACGCUGUAAACAAUGAGUGCUAGGUGUCGGGGAGGAAUUCCCG
rnacentral:rRNA from 1 species